UACGAAGGGUGCAAGCGUUAAUCAGAAUUACUGGGCGUAAAGGGUGCGUAGGCGGUUCGUUAAGUCUGUCGUGAAAUCCCCGGGCUCAACCUGGGAAUGGCGAUGGAUACUGGCGAGCUAGAGUGUGUCAGAGGAUGGUGGAAUUCCCGGUGUAGCGGUGAAAUGCGUAGAGAUCGGGAGGAACAUCGGUGGCGAAGGCGGCCAUCUGGGACAACACUGACGCUGAAGCACGAAAGCGUGGGGAGCAAACAGG
rnacentral:rRNA from 1 species